CCUACGGGUGGCUGCAGUGGGGAAUAUUGCACAAUGGGCGCAAGCCUGAUGCAGCCAUGCCGCGUGUGUGAAGAAGGCCUUCGGGUUGUAAAGCACUUUCAGCGGGGAGGAAGGCGUUAAGGUUAAUAACCUUGGCGAUUGACGUUACCCGCGGAAGAAGCACCGGCUAACUCCGUGCCAGCAGCCGCGGUAAUACGGAGGGUGCAAGCGUUAAUCGGAAUUACUGGGCGUAAAGCGCACGCAGGCGGUCUGUCAAGUCGGAUGUGAAAUCCCCGGGCUCAACCUGGGAACUGCAUUCGAAACUGGCAGGCUAGAGUCUUGUAGAGGGGGGUAGAAUUCCAGGUGUAGCGGUGAAAUGCGUAGAGAUCUGGAGGAAUACCGGUGGCGAAGGCGGCCCCCUGGACAAAGACUGACGCUCAGGUGCGAAAGCGUGGGGAGCAAACAGGAUUAGAUACCCCGGUAGUC
rnacentral:rRNA from 1 species